rnacentral:tRNA from 1 species
UCCCCAAAACCGGAAUUUUAUAAUUAAACUA